GACGAACGCUGGCGGCGUGCCUAAUACAUGCAAGUAGAACGCACAGUUUAUACCGUAGCUUGCUACACCAUAAACUGUGAGUUGCGAACGGGUGAGUAACGCGUAGGUAACCUGCCUGGUAGCGGGGGAUAACUAUUGGAAACGAUAGCUAAUACCGCAUAAUAUUGAUUAUUGCAUGAUAAUUGAUUGAAAGAUGCUAUUGCAUCACUACCAGAUGGACCUGCGUUGUAUUAGCUAGUAGGUGAGGUAACGGCUCACCUAGGCGACGAUACAUAGCCGACCUGAGAGGGGGAUCGGCCACACUGGGACGGAGACACGGCCCAGACUCCUACGGGAGGCAGCAGUAGGGAAUCUUCGGCAAUGGACGAAAGUCUGACCGAGCAACGCCGCGUGAGUGAAGAAGGUUUUCGGAUCGUAAAGCUCUGUUGUAAGAGAAGAACGGGUGUGAGAGUGGAAAGUUCACACUGUGACGGUAUCUUACCAGAAAGGGACGGCUAACUACGUGC
rnacentral:rRNA from 1 species